rnacentral:lncRNA from 1 species
AUGGAUCUGAUUCUUCGUUCUCCUUCUCUUAAACUCCGCCGCUCCAUAACCCUAACUCUCAAUUCGCCAUGGAGGAUGCCUAUCUGACCAGUGUAUGUUGACCCGCUAUAUUUUGACUCAUCUACGUUAUUUUCCAAAACCCUAGACAGCCUUCCUUUUCCAUUCUGCUUCAUCUCCAUUCUGGUUCACGCAUAUGCAUUCGAACGAUUCAAGCAUCAGGUAUGUUUAAACAUAAUCUCGUGUCAUCUCUGCCUCUUGAUUAUAUAUUUCGACGAAAACCCUAACCAGAGCCACUAUCACGCGACUGACAAAGAACUUGAACACUACGAAUUUCAUGGGUGGUGAUUUCCACGGGUUUUGGUUACAUUUGGUAAUGAAUGAAGAAAAAGAGGAAUCAUUGUCCUUCCGGCUACUCAAUUGGAUGAAGUUGUUCACGCUUCUCUAAGGUCACAUCUAAGAAAGAGGAUGCAACGAGGUUGGCUCAGAUGUAGAAUAAAAUAAUUACAAUUUUAUGGGAUAAAGGGAAAUAUACCUAUGACUCAUUCCAUGCUCAUCGGAUCCAUAGUGGCGCUACAUGUACUGACGCCGAAGACAACAACGGUAACUACAGUGGCGCAACAUGUCCGCCUGUUUCGUAUUUGUUCAGCAACCCAGCAUCCCACAGAAAGCAUCUAAACGCCGUCACACACAGUUGCCUUUAAAGAAGGGGAUACCGUGUUGGUGGCAGUAGAUUGAUAUGUUGUUGUGGUGAUGAUAAAGAUGAAAAGUGUUGAGUGUUUACUAAAUCUCCUGAGACUUUGCUCAAUGUUUAUGGUUUGCAAAGAAUAGAAACCUUAGAAGUCUAUGUGUGGAGAUAGGUAUGCCUAUGCUUAAGCCAGUUAUUGUUUUUGAAGUCAGGACCCUAAGAGAUUCCAUAGGGUGCAGUUGGAGCUGAGUUUGUAAUAGUUUCUGGUGAUUAAUGGUAGAUUUGGCAUUGUUGGGCUACCGAGGUAUUGUGGGAGGUCGAAAGAGCUUGGGAAGUCUUAAAAAUCAAGGGUUUUUGCGAGUGUUUUGAAAAGAAAAAAGAGAUAAUUGGUACGGACCCCUUCUAUCGGACCUUCAUGUGGAUGAUUUUGUCCAGGAGCGGCUUCAACUUAAAAAUGUGAAAUUAUACAACCUGGCAGAAAUAAAUCCUUUGGUAGGUAUUUGAUACUUCAUAUUAUAGGUGUAAAUACUCUAUGGCAGGUAAUUAAAUGUUGUUUUAUGGUAUGCAAAAGACUAACGCGAAUAACCCCGCCGCAACAUAAUUCUAAUUUGUAGCAACAUAAAAAACUCACUACUUCUUACUAUGAUUUUUAUAGAUGUUGAAGGCCUCACCAUGAUAACAACUCAAAUGUCCGCUACCGGACUCCACAAAUGCGUUUCUUUUUCUCAACGCAAUGGAUUCCCUGAAUGCAUAGCUUUUUUUGUAAUGCAAAGCUAGCAGGCUAUUGUAAGAAAUAAUAUUUUAACAGUGUGAAACACCACGCUUCUAAAACGCUAUGUAGGUUAAUCUCCGAUGCUCUAUUAUCUAUUUCUAUUAUGUAUAACAAAUGAAAAUAAGGCUAGACAUGUGGCGUAUUUUUAAGGCAUCUCCAUUGUGAUUUUGGCACACUUUUUUUAUGUUUGUUUUAAACAGAGGGUUAUGAUUAGUGUUUUUAAAAGAACAUUAUCUGAUGUAUCACAAAGGCUGUUAUCACUUUAUGAGAACAUAAGAAGAAGAUUAUGUGAGCCUCUGAUACAAAAAUAAUCAUGAAAAAACUACAGAAACAAAGGAGACUUUUCUAACCUCCUGGGGAAUAACUUAAGACGCGAAUAAGGAGAUUUUUGAAUCUGAUGAGAUUAAGGUUGUUUCUGAAUUUGCAUCAAGGAAUCCUUUGGAGUUUUUAACUAUUGAUAUAAGAUUGUUUUAUGCCGCAUAUGGUGGUUCACUUGAAGCUAAUUUCGAGGAUGAGAGGAUGGUUAGAUAUUGUAAACUUAAGAAAAGUUUGUUUGGCUUUCUAUUUCAGACUGUUUGUUUAUUGUUUUGUGGAUAUACUCACCUUUUUGAUGAUUCUUUUAAUGUAGCUAUGAAGCAACUUGGGGAAGAGUCACUUCCUCCCAUUUAUUUGAUAUUUGAUUGUUUGAUUUCGUAGUGAAAAUCAUUUGGAAUGCCUAUUUGAAGUAUAUGAAUAUGUCACAGCUCAAGUAAACAUAGCAAUUGAGGACGUUGACUACUCCGGUUCAACUGAUCAAGUGUUUAAAGUCUAUAAAGAAUCAUGUUUUUAUAGCUUCUGAGUACCCUGUUGUGAUUACUCUUAAAGACCACCUUACUAUUGAUCUUCAGUCUAAAGCGGCUUCGGCCCGAUUGUACUUCCUGCUAUUUACUUUGUGGGACCAAAGUUGUCAAAGGAAAAUGUCGAAAGCUUUGAGUAUCAUUAUCUAUAUGAGCUAAGGAGCAUUCAGGAUCGGCUUCGGAAUGAGAUCCAUAGCUUCAAGAGACCGAGAAUGUGGAAGAAGAGGUUGUAAAGGAGAUGAUGACGAAGAUAAAGAACAACAGGAGCCGGAGAGUGGGUGUGUUGAAUGACCAGUCACAAAAUAGGUUCGGGUCGAAAUAUGUUACAUAUUUUUGCAACUAAAACAAUUCAAGUUGUGUUUAUAUGAGUUUAUCAAGGGUGAUCCACAUCCAAGGUAUCUUUAUUUUGCUAGAAAAAUAUCGUGUAUUAAGAACCUUAGAAUAAUU